UACGAUGAUAUCCUUGACGGCCUUGGC
rnacentral:piRNA from 1 species